GUGAAGGAGACAGGUUAGAUACACUGGAGCUUCCACACAGGAGAGAGGGAAGGAGCUGGAGAAGAAGGGGGCUGUGGUCGGAAACAGGUCAGUGAUGGAGCUGUGGUCGGAAACAGGUCAAUGAUGGAGGCCGUGGUCAGAAACAGGUUGAAUUUGAGGGGCACGCAAUUGGUCAUGAAAAUGGUGGGAAUAAGAAGAAUGAAGUGGCAUGCAAGAGACCAUUAUAGAAAUGAUGUGGAACUCAGGGUGAGGAUGUUGGGUGUGUGCUCUUCUGUAUGGACAUUGACUUUAUGCUAAAAUGAGAUUCACUAUGUGGGAACAUAGUAAUAAAAUAAUGUGGCUGGGUGUGGUGGCUCACACCUGUAAUCCCAACACUUUGGGAGGCUGAGGCGGGCGGAUAGCAAGGUCAGAGUUUGAGACCAGCCUGGCCAACAUGGUGAAACACACCUGUACUAAAAAUACAAAAAUUAGCUGGGCAUGGUGGUGGGCACCUGUAAUCACAGCUACUCGAGAGGCUGAGGCAGGAGAAUUGCUUGAACCCGGGAAAUAGAGGUUGCAGUGAGCCAAGACCAUGCCUUUGCACUCCAGCCUGGGUGACAGAGCGAGACUCCGUCUCAAAAAAAAAGAUAAUGUGACAUAACUUAGUUGUGUUUACAAACUUUUGAUUUUAUGGAUUUGAAAAAAUCCAUCAUUCAUUUUUGCCAGAUUUUUUAAAGCUAUCACCUAUUAUUCAUAACAAGAAAGACAUUUUAACUCCCACCUCCUCAUUUCCCUCUCAACCCCAAAAUAAGUAGGGACAUAAUCCCAGAUUAAAGGAUAAUACUUCCAAGGAAAGGCUUGUCACACAUGCACACACACACAUUCCUCAGGAUCUAACAUUUUGCAAGUUGAAACCGCAUUCGGGAAGCAAUACUCUAAUCCACUAAAAUAAAAUUUCACUUAACACUUGAAAUAAACUUGAACUCAAAAAAUUUCUCUCCUUCGUGAGACUCAGGCAGUGAGAAGCAGCUGUGACUAGAAAUGGCACUGAACUGUUAGAAACUUUUUAAUAAAACGUGCUUGUUGUGCCCUUCAGAUUUGUCUGAAUUUCAGUUGAUCCAGAGCAAGAAAAAGGGAUUAGCAACCCACUCUCCACCAAAUUUCAAAUCACUAGGGGCAUUAUGCUAUGUCCCAGGAGUGGCCAAGGCUUCAAGGACCAAUGAUAGACCUGCCGCUCUAACCUAGGCCUGCUGAGGAGUACAAUUCAACCUGUGUUUCUGUGUGGUUCAGCAAUCUUGCUGAGCUCCUCUAAGUCAGUCCAUCCUGCCACAGCUGGGAAGAAUCAAGAAACUCUCCAAGAAGACGUUUAUCGGUUGAUAAAAAUCUGUUUAUCUGCCUGUUGCCAAUGAGAAGACAGGUCUGCUGACCAUGGCAGGCAUGGCAGCACGUGACACCGUGUUUGCUGCUCACUGCAUGUUCCACCUGAACUUUCCCGUCCGGUCAAUGAGUCUUGACAGUGGGGUGAAGGGGACUCACUCUCAAAGACCAAGGCUGACCCGCUUUGAGUACAAUGCCUUGACCUAGUUACUGUCACUGUGUUUUUGUCUUCAGGAACUAAAAGAUACAAUAAAAAUUUGUUCAUU
rnacentral:lncRNA from 1 species